UUCUAAUUCUCUUACGAGGAUUCACUCGAGGCCAAGUCGUGUCAAGCAGCUGGGUAUCAGUUCCAAUAGGGUAUAUUAAAGUUGUGCAGUUAAAGCUCGUAGUUGAUUCGGUUGGUUUACAGCGGGUCAGCUACGAUGAUGAUUGCUAUGACUUCUCUCUUUGUCGGGGACGAGCUCUGGUUUAGUGUUCGGGGGCUCGGAUCAUCGUGAUUAUCUUGAGCAAAUAUAGAGGUUCACAACCAGGCUUUAGCUCAAUAUUUUAACCAGGAGAAACACAGUAUGGAAUUUCGGCUAUUUUUUUUGUUGUUAGACUCGGAAUAUAAUGUUUAAGAGACACUGUGGGGCGUUUUUAUAUUCAUUUUGUCAGAGGUGAAUUUUGUGGAUAUGAAAAAGACAAAUUUUGUGAGAAACACAUUUCCCAAGGAUUUUUCUUAUAAAAAAAAGAGAAAUGUGGGGGUGAGAAGGAGUAGAGAUCGUUUUUGUGUCAACCCUAAAAGAUACCGAGUAUGGAGUGGGGAGGGUUUUUUUAAUGACUUCGUCAGCACCUUAUGAGAAAUCAAAGUUUUUGGGUUCCGGGGGGAGUAUGGUCGCAAGGCUGAAACUUAAAGGAAUUGACGGAAGGGCACCCCCAGGCGUGGAGCCUGCGGGUUAAUUUGACUCAACACGGGGAAACUUACCAGGUCCCGACAUAGUGAGGAUUGACAGAUUGAGAGCUCUUUUUUGAUUUUAUGGGUGGUGGUGCAUGGCCGUUUUUAGUUGGUGGGGUGCCUUGUCCGGUUGAUUCCGGUAACGAACGAGACCUCCGCCUGCUAAAUAGUUUCCGUAGCUUUUUGCAGUGGGCUGAAUUUUUUGGAGGGAUUUUGGGGGUUUAUUAAAAGGAAGUUGGGGCCAAUACCAGUUUUGGGAUGCCUUUAGAUGUUUUGGCCGCCCCCCGCGUUCCAUGGAGCCAUUCACAAACCUUUCCUUGUCCGAAGGGUUUGGGUAAUUUUUUAAAAUUGCUUCGUGAUGGGGAUAGAUUAUUCCAAUUAUUAUUUUUAAAGGAGGAAUCCUUAGUAAGGCCAGUUCUUCAGCUGGCGUGGAUUACGUCCCUCCCCUUUGUCCCCCCCCCCCGUCGCCCCUACGGAUUGGUGGAUUGGGAAAUGUUUGGGAUGGCCGUCAAGGGUCCAACACCUCAUUGGCCGAGAAGGUCAUAAACCCUCCCACCUAGAGAAGAGAAGUCGAGCAGUACGUCCC
rnacentral:rRNA from 1 species